AUCCCUGCAGGCCUCUGGCUGUCCCUCGUGUCACAUCUCCUCCCUUUGUGACAAGACACGUCUUGGACUCCAGCCUGGAAUGUGAUGGAAGUUUCAUCCCUACCCAUCAUCAAUGGAACAUUUAAUUUCAGAAUUACACAGGGCUUGAAGGAAAGAGCAUCUCCAUCAAAUACAGAUCAUCAGCAGCAGUGCCUUGAAGAGCCAAGAUAAUAAUAAAACAAAGAGCUUUCAGGAGCAGCCCCAGCAGAAGGCUAAUGUAAAGUGAUAUAUUUGAGCCCCAGGAGGAUGGUGAGAAUUUAUUACAUUAUUAUCAUCUGGUACAGCAAAAUAGUGGAGGAGACAUGUCAGGAAACACUGGAGUGGUCACGAGAGCCCCAGGAAAACCCAGGGGAUGUUGGUAAGCACUCUCAGGAAAAGGGGAGCAGCAGCUGGAUCGACCUGGAAUCGCUUUGGAUCACUCUGAUCGCACCAAACUCAGACCUUGAAAUUGCUGCAGUCCAGGCACCACUUCAGGAAAGUGGAUUUGCUGCUCAAAAAUCCCCAUAAUUUCCAUUUUUUCCCCCUAAAGUUUACCCUAUUUAAUAAAUUCUUCAUUGUUUCAUUGAAUUAAUUUGAAGCUCUUGUGUGCACUAAGCAGCAUUUCGAAGGUGUGAAUCCCUGCUGGAUCAGUGCAUCCUCCCCAAAACCCUUUUGGUGGAUCUGUCCCAUCUGAUUUGAGGCCAGUGAAGAGGAUCUCCCCUCAAAAGGAGCAGUUCCAUGUUUGCUGCAUUGACACCAAACACGAUUCCUUACAGCUGUAAAUUUCCAUUUGCCAUCACCCAUUUUUCAAAAGGAAGUAGAUUGUGAGCCUGGAAAGAUUUAUAGCUCCAUUCUAAAAUAUCCAUCAUUUUAAACCCAGCCCUGCUGCUCACAUCCACUGAACUGCCCUAGAUAGACUGCUAAAGUACUUAAAAAUUAUAAAAAACCCCCAAACUUUACAAUAUAUCCAGAUAUUUCAAGCCCUUUUGUGGGGGCAUGGACAAACCCAGAGCCAUAUUUCAUAAAAC